rnacentral:rRNA from 1 species
GACGAACGCUGGCGGCGUGCUUAACACAUGCAAGUCGAACGGAAAGGCCCUGCUUUUGUGGGGUGCUCGAGUGGCGAACGGGUGAGUAACACGUGAGUAACCUGCCCUUGACUUUGGGAUAACUUCAGGAAACUGGGGCUAAUACCGGAUAGGAGCUCCUGCUGCAUGGUGGGGGUUGGAAAGUUUCGGCGGUUGGGGAUGGACUCGCGGCUUAUCAGCUUGUUGGUGGGGUAGUGGCUUACCAAGGCUUUGACGGGUAGCCGGCCUGAGAGGGUGACCGGCCACAUUGGGACUGAGAUACGGCCCAGACUCCUACGGGAGGCAACAGUGGGGAAUAGUGCACAAUGGGCGGAAGCCUGAUGCAGCAACGCCGCGUGCGGGAUGACGGCCUUCGGGUUGUAAACCGCUUUCGCCUGUGACGAAGCGUGAGUGACGGUAAUGGGUAAAGAAGCACCGGCUAACUACGUG